rnacentral:tRNA from 1 species
UCUUGGAUAGCUCAGUCGGUUAGAACAUGGUGCUGAUAACACCAAGGUUGCAGGUUUGAGCCCCUUAUGGGAU